UCUUUUUCUCCAAUUGAAUCAAGAAAUCUCUAGUACCUUUCCCUUAAUCACAAUCCAUCUUCUUAAUCCUUAAACCCUAAACUAUCUCUUCAUUUCAAUGUAAUACAAUGGUGUUUUCAUCAUUUUAGCUAUACAAAUUUGCUUCUUUCUUGAUUUUUGGUGUGUUUUUGAAGGGAAAUGCCAAGCGUGGCUGUGAAAUUAUACAGUGUUUUCUUCAAAUUUAUGUUAAAGCAUCGGUUGCAGAACCGAAUUCAAAUCGAUGACACCAUAAAUGGGUCACAGCAUUUUGGUGUAACAUCUCGACCCAAUGAAGAAUCCAUUG
rnacentral:misc_RNA from 1 species